rnacentral:rRNA from 1 species
AACUCAAAGGAAUUGACGGGGGCCCGCACAAGCGGAGGAACAUGUGGUUUAAUUCGAUGAUACGCGAGGAACCUUACCUGGGCUUAAAUGUAGGUUGCAUAACUUAGAAAUAGGUUUUCCCUUCGGGGCUACUUACAAGGUGCUGCAUGGUUGUCGUCAGCUCGUGCCGUGAGGUGUCGGGUUAAGUCCCAUAACGAGCGCAACCCCUAUCGUUAGUUGCCAGCGGGUCAAGCCGGGGACUCUAGCGAGACUGCCACCGUAAGGUGAGAGGAAGGUGGGGAUGACGUCAAAUCAGCACGGCCCUUAUGUCCAGGGCUACACACGUGUUACAAUGGCCGAUACAAAGGGCAGCUACCGGGCGACCGGAUGCUAAUCUCAAAAGUCGGUCCCAGUUCGGAUUGGAGUCUGCAACCCGACUCCAUGAAGUUGGAUUCGCUAGUAAUCGCGCAUCAGCCAUGGCGCGGUGAAUACGUUCCCGGGCCUU